rnacentral:rRNA from 1 species
UACAGAGGUCUCAAGCGUUGUUCGGAUUCAUUGGGCGUAAAGGGUGUGUAGGUGGCGCGCUAAGUCGGGUGUGAAAUUUCGGAGCUUAACUCCGAAACUGCAUUCGAUACUGGCGUGCUUGAGGACUGGAGAGGAGACUGGAAUUCACGGUGUAGCAGUGAAAUGCGUAGAGAUCAUGAGGAAGACCAGUGGCGAAGGCGGGUCUCUGGACAGUUCCUGACACUGAGGCACGAAGGCCAGGGGAGCAAACGGG